rnacentral:misc_RNA from 1 species
AACGCACCUUGCGCUCCUUGGUAUUCCGAGGAGCAUGCCUGUUUGAGUCUCAUGGAAUUCUCAACCUUCGACUUUGUUGUCGGAGGCUUGGACUUGGAGGUCGUGUCGGCUCUCGUAGUCGACUCCUCUGAAAUGCAUUAGUGCGAACGUUACCAGCCGCUUCAGCGUGAUAAUUAUCUGCGUUGCUGUGGAGGGUAUGCUAGUGUUCGCGCUUCUAACCGUCUUCGGACAACAUUUCUAGACUCUGAGCUCAAAUCAGGUAGGACUACCCGCUGAACUUAA